rnacentral:rRNA from 1 species
GAUGAACGCUAGCGACAGGCUUAACACAUGCAAGUCGAGGGGCAGCAUAGAAGUAGCAAUACUUUGGUGGCGACCGGCGCACGGGAGAGUAACGCGUAUGCAACCUACCUAUCAGAGGGGAAUAACCCGGCGAAAGUCGGACUAAUACCGCAUAAAACAGGGGCACCGCAUGGUGAUAUUUGUUAAAGAAAUUCGCUGAUAGAUGGGCAUGCGUUCCAUUAGGUAGUUGGUGAGGUAACGGCUCACCAAGCCGACGAUGGAUAGGGGAACUGAGAGGUUGGUCCCCCACACUGGUACUGAGACACGGACCAGACUCCUACGGGAGGCAGCAGUGAGGAAUAUUGGUCAAUGGGCGGUAGCCUGAACCAGCCAAGUCGCGUGAAGGAAGAAGGAUCUAUGGUUCGUAAACUUCUUUUGCAGGGGAAUAAAGUGCGGGACGUGUCCUGUUUUGUAUGUACCCUGAGAAUAAGGAUCGGCUAACUCCGUGCCAGCAGCCGCAGUAA